CCUGGCAAAGGAACCUCCACAGCCCAAGAAUGUUAACAUUUACCGGGUGCCGGGCAUGGACCUUACAUAUUUUAUGUAAUUCAAUCCUCCCAACAAACAUAUGAGAGCCAGUCCUGCACCCCAGCCUUCAACAUGAGCAGCUCUUGCUCUCUGUGGCUCCAGCCCCAGCCUGGACCUAUCUUUCAGAGCCACAAUGCUAAGAGACAGUCCCUGAGUCUUGGAUGACCACGUGAGGAGAGGAUGCUGUUCUGAGAGCUGCUGAUAAUAUGUGGAUCCAAACCCACAGGCUUGAGCUGCUUAAUUGAAAUUCACAUCAAAAUAGAAUUCUGGUUUAGCUCAACUUGACUACUACGGAUGAUGAAAAUAAAUCCCUGGGUCACACAAG
rnacentral:antisense_RNA from 1 species